rnacentral:rRNA from 1 species
GACGAACGCUGGCGGCGUGCUUAACACAUGCAAGUCGAGCGAUGAAGCACCUUCGGGUGUGAAUUAGCGGCGAACGGGUGAGGAACACGUGAGAAAUCUGCCUUCAACACUGGGAUAACUCCGGGAAACCGGGGCUAAUACCGGAUAUGAAACCUGCGGGCGUCCGCGGGUUUGGAAAGUUUUUCGGUUGAAGAUGAUCUCGCGGCCUAUCAGCUUGUUGGUGAGGUAAUGGCUCACCAAGGCGACGACGGGUAGCCGGCCUGAGAGGGCGACCGGCCAAACUGGGACUGAGACACGGCCCAGACUCCUACGGGAGGCAGCAGUGGGGAAUAUUGGGCAAUGGAGGAAACUCUGACCCAGCGACGCCGCGUGCGGGAUGAAGGCCUUCGGGUUGUAAAGCUCUUUCGGCCGGGAAGAAAUCGCACAGGCUAAUACUCUGUGUGGAUGACGGUACCGGCAUAAGAAGCACCGGCUAAC